UCAGCAUGCUGCAUUUAUUGCAUGGAUCAGGAGUGAAAGGCACUGUUCCCUGGAAGCUGCCAUUCACAAGAUUAAGUACGUUUGGCUUUUUUGAGUUUGUUUGUUUGCUUCCAAGAUUGCUUGUGUUAUCAACCAGGCUGGUAGCAGCUCCCACGAAGACCUCAGGAAUCCCUGACACGAAGACCUGGUGUAAGUCUGGCAAAGAAGAAAGGUAAGGAAGGAGUUCACGGAUUCUUCUAAUGGCCACUCUGCUUGGAGAAGAACCACCCAAUCCCAGAUCUGUGCCCUGAGUCCUACCACCCAUACCGUACCUGGAGGUCUGCAGAGUCUGAAGUUUCCAUGUUGAUACUGCAACUUGCCCCCUCUUGUAACUUCAUGCAUGGGGAGCUGUGGGGUCUCAUUGCCUUUGGUUGCUGUGGCUGGCACUGGCUUGGCUGUGCCUUUCAUCAGAUGGCUUCAGAGGUUCUCUCCUGCACCCUGCCCUAUCCCUGUGCUUUUGACACAUUCAGGGACAAAGUUGGAGUUCCCACCAACCCCACUGAAGGCUCUGCAAUGUACUGCAUCUCCCACUUAGAUGAAUGCUCAUCGUUUUGGCUGGUGAAUGGGAAGAUUUCAAAAUGAAGGGUGAGGGCCAUCCAUACCUGGGGAAUUCAGCUGGACCCCAGGAGCAGAGAGGACUGUGGCUGCAUACCUCCAGGCUGAGAAGGAAGCUCAACACAGAUUUUGCCUUUCCCAGUGAAGUCUUCUCUCACAGACUCGUGAGAUAGGGUUGUGUAUGUGAAGAAUUACGGACUUCCAUGGGUGCUGAGCACAGCUGGCUCCAGAAUUGUCAGAGAUCAGCACCAGUUUAGAUGUCAAAGGACAAAAGGCAAAGAACUGACAUCCAUCUUCAGAUUUCCAAAAAAUAUUUUGCAAGCAACUGGCCUUCUAGAUCCUGGUGGGUCCCAGCUUCCCAGGCUCUCUCCUCAGAUCCAGCUGCUUGCUUCUAGUAAGAAGAGGAAGGCGGAAUAUCAGUGAAAUACUCCCUGAAAUAACAAGAGAUCUCAAGACUGACAGAUUUUCCUAACUCCAGGUGUAGCCUGUCGAAAAAUCUAUGAAAAAUCAGAUGUGCUUUCCUGAAAUGGAAUUUAAGAACAUCUUCGAGCUGACCAAAGAAUAUACCUAGAGAAGUGGUAACCUUUUGUUUGGAUAAAACUUUCACUGGGACCAAAAUAUAGUUGCUU
rnacentral:lncRNA from 7 species